ensembl:lncRNA
GGAUGAGAUCGUAUCAGCCGCAUGGUUACCCGAGCCACGAAGCCUCCUCCGGUGACUCAGCAAUCGCGGCGACCUGGCGGAGCUGAGGAAAACACCGUUGGAACCAUCCAUAUUCCCCACACGGUUAACUUGGCGCAAAACAACCUGCAACAAAGCACAACGUCUCUCGGGCCUCGGAGAGCUUUGCCGCAGUCACGCGAAAAUCAAACCGAGAUCCGAGCUGAGCUCGUUGAUCCGCGGCGUUCCCGCGCGGCGAUAGCAGCCCGGAGCGCUUCGUUGAAGGACGCUGCUGCCGCCAC